rnacentral:rRNA from 1 species
AAUAGAUACCCAGGUAGUCCACGCCGUAAACGAUGAGUGCUAAGUGUUAGAGGGUUUCCGCCCUUUAGUGCUGAAGUUAACGCAUUAAGCACUCCGCCUGGGGAGUACGGCCGCAAGGCUGAAACUCAAAGGAAUUGACGGGGGCCCGCACAAGCGGUGGAGCAUGUGGUUUAAUUCGAAGCAACGCGAAGAACCUUACCAGGUCUUGACAUCCUCUGACAACCCUAGAGAUAGGGCUUCUCCUUCGGGAGCAGAGUGACAGGUGGUGCAUGGUUGUCGUCAGCUCGUGUCGUGAGAUGUUGGGUUAAGUCCCGCGACGAGCGCAACCCUUGAUCUUAGUUGCCAUCAUUAAGUUGGGCACUCUAAGGUGACUGCCGGUGACAAACCGGAGGAAGGUGGGGAUGACGUCAAAUCAUCAUGCCCCUUAUGACCUGGGCUACACACGUGCUACAAUGGACGGUACAAAGAGCUGCAAGACCGCGAGGUGGAGCUAAUCUCAUAAAACCCGUUCUCAGUUCGGA